AGGGCAAUAGUUUAUAAAAAACAUUUAACUUGCAAUUAAAAAAAAAUUAAUAUUUUGUCUAA
rnacentral:tRNA from 1 species